rnacentral:rRNA from 1 species
GAGUUUGAUCCUGGCUCAGGACGAACGCGGGCGGCGUGCCUAACACAUGCAAGUCGAGCGGAUCUUUGGGAGCUUGCUCCCAAAGAUUAGCGGCGGACGGGUGAGUAACACGUGGGCAACCUGCCUGUAAGACUGGGAUAACUCCGGGAAACCGGGGCUAAUACCGGAUAAUUCAUUCUCUCACAUGAGGGGAUGUUAAAAGAUGGUUUYGGCUAUCACUUACAGAUGGGCCCGCGGCGCAUUAGCUAUCYAAGGUAACGGCUCACCAAGGCCACGAUGCGUAGCCGACCUGAGAGGGUGAUCGGCCACACUGGGACUGAGACACGGCCCAGACUCCUACGGGAGGCAGCAGUAGGGAAUCUUCCGCAAUGGACAAAAGUCUGACGGAGCAACGCCGCGUGAGCGAAGAAGGCCUUCGGGUCGUAAAGCUCUGUUGUUAGGGAAGAACAAGUACCGGAGAAACUGCCGGUACCUUGACGGUGCCUAACCAGAAAGCCACGGCUAACUACGUGCCAGCAGCCGCGGUAAUACGUAGGUGGCAAGCGUUGUCCGGAAUUAUUGGGCGUGAAGCGCGCGCAGGUGGUUCCUUAAGUCUGAUGUGAAAGCCCACGGCUCACCCGUGGAGGGUCAUUGGAAACUGGGGAACUUGAGUGCAGAAGAGGAAAGUGGAAUUCCACGUGUAGCGGUGAAAUGCGUAGAGAUGUGGAGGAACACCAGUGGCGAAGGCGACUUUCUGGUCUGUAACUGACACUGAGGCGCGAAAGCGUGGGGAGCGAACAGGAUUAGAUACCCUGGUAGUCCACGCCGUAAACGAUGAGUGCUAAGUGUUAGAGGGUUUCCGCCCUUUAGUGCUGCAGCAAACGCAUUAAGCACUCCGCCUGGGGAGUACGGCCGCAAGGCUGAAACUCAAAGGAAUUGACGGGGGCCCGCACAAGCGGUGGAGCAUGUGGUUUAAUUCGAAGCAACGCGAAGAACCUUACCAGGUCUUGACAUCCUCUGACACCUCUGGAGACAGAGCUUUCCCCUUCGGGGGACAGAGUGACAGGUGGUGCAUGGUUGUCGUCAGCUCGUGUCGUGAGAUGUUGGGUUAAGUCCCGCAACGAGCGCAACCCUUGUCCUUAGUUGCCAGCAUUCAGUUGGGCACUCUAAGGAGACUGCCGGUGACAAACCGGAGGAAGGUGGGGAUGACGUCAAAUCAUCAUGCCCCUUAUGACCUGGGCUACACACGUGCUACAAUGGAUAGAACAAAGGGCAGCGAAGCCGCGAGGUGUAGCAAAUCCCAUAAAUCUAUUCUCAGUUCGGAUUGCAGCUGCAACUCGCCUGCAUGAAGCCGGAAUCGCUAGUAAUCGCGGAUCAGCAUGCCGCGGUGAAUACGUUCCCGGGCCUUGUACACACCGCCCGUCACACCACGAGAGUUUGUAACACCCGAAGUCGGUGGGGUAACCUUUUAGGGGCCAGCCGCCUAAGGUGGGACAGAUGAUUGGGGUGAAGUCGUAACAAGGUAGCC